CAUCAAUACCGUCUUCAUCGUACUGAUCUAUGCUGAUUGAUAUGGAUUUUAUUUAAACUUCUGGACAGCGUUUAUUUCAUGGUUAGGUGUCAUAUUUCGGUAUAACAUUCAGGCGUUGCAUUUGGAUUUGGAAUUAGGGAUGGUAGUUUCGGUUACAAAACACAAUAAUAUUUAGAUGUUGAGUUAGGAAUAGGUUUAUGGUUAUGUUUAGGCAUAUAAUCUAGAUUUAGG